UUUCCGUAGGUGAACCUGCGGAAGGAUCAUUACUGAGUGAGGGCCCCUCGGGGUCCAACCUCCCACCCGUGUUUAACGAACCUUGUUGCUUCGGCGGGCCCGCCUCACGGCCGCCGGGGGGCAUCUGCCCCCGGGUCCGCGCCCGCCGAAGCCACCUGUGAACGCUGUCUGAAGUAUGCAGUCUGAGGCAAUUAUUAAAUUAAUUAAAACUUUCAACAACGGAUCUCUUGGUUCCG
rnacentral:misc_RNA from 1 species